UACGUAGGGUGCAAGCGUUGUCCGGAAUUAUUGGGCGUAAAGAGCUCGUAGGCGGUGUGUCGCGUCGGCCGUAAAAACCUGCAGCUUAACUGUGGGCUUGCGGUCGAUACGGGCAUCACUGGAGUUCGGCAGGGGAGACUGGAAUUCCUGGUGUAGCGGUGAAAUGCGCAGAUAUCAGGAGGAACACCGGUGGCGAAGGCGGGUCUCUGGACAGUUCCUGACACUGAGGCACGAAGGCCAGGGAGCAAACGGG
rnacentral:rRNA from 1 species